CCCUAGAACUGAAACUAUAGACCUGUGAGCCUCCAUGUGGAGUGCUCAAAUCCGGGUCCUCUGGAAGAGCAGUGAGUGCUCUUAACUGCUGAGCCAUCCCUCCAGCUCCCUCAUAACCAUUAUCUUUUUAAUAAAUAUGUACCCCUUAGACUGACCUCCAAUUCACCAUCGCAGCAAGGGUGACCUGGAACUCCUGAUCCUCUUGACUUUUCCCCACAACUGCUGGCAUAAUGGGUGUGCAUCAACAUGCUUAGCUUGACUUUAUUUUCCUGUCUGCAGUGAUGGGGAUCCUACAGACGGACUGGGACUUUUUUUAGCAUCCGAUGUUAGCUGGACACUUGGUUCGGGAAGGAAGGAAGGUUCAAGGUCUUCCUUGGAUGCAUACAUCCUGAGCUACAUGAGGUCCUGUCUCAUAAAUAAGAACCCAACGAGGAAAAAGAGAAAAAAUAAGCAAUGAAACAAACAAAAGGAUGUACUCUAUCACUGAGCCAGGAAAAUGCAUCUUAAACACAUAUCCCAGGAGACUUUUCUGCUUCCCAAAGUCUGAGAAGUGCCACCUGCUCGUCCCUUUUCCUCAAGGAAGAGCGCACUUUUUCAUCCUUGGGGUGUUUGUCCCCUAGUUCGUGGAGAGGAGCUCUCAGCUAAAGGACAUAGGACUCACGAAGCUGCACAGCGAGGGCUCUGGGCUAAGCCAACUCAGUGAGCAUUUGCCGGCAUCCUCACGUCUGAGCCGCAUCCUGUUUUGAAGAAGAGAGGCCAGGAGAGAUGUGAAAUGAGAAUGGGCUCAUCUGGGGAAUCAAAUGUAAUUUCUCCAAUCCCGGAAACCUGGAUCGAAAUCAAUUCAAUCAACAUCCGUGGUUAGUUUGCAAGCCACCAGUGACUCCCCAUCCUGACCCGUGUUUGCAUUCUUGACAGAGCCACAAUCUGCAGAAUUGGUCUGUAAUCAAUAGCUCACCAUCAUUCUAGAAGACUGUCUGCCACUCAAGUUUUCAGGUAACAGACAUUCUCUGUUGAGUCUAUUUUCCCUGUCGGAGGACAGUACAGAUACUGCAAUUUU